rnacentral:pre_miRNA from 1 species
UUUUUCCGCUAGAUUUAGCGGGGAAUUUUUCCCGCUAGAUCUAGCGGGGAAAAUUUUUCCGCUAGAUUUAGCGGGGAAA